GAUGAACGCUGGCGGCGUGCCUAAUACAUGCAAGUCGAGCGAACAGACGAGGAGCUUGCUCCUCUGACGUUAGCGGCGGACGGGUGAGUAACACGUGGAUAACCUACCUAUAAGACUGGGAUAACUUCGGGAAACCGGAGCUAAUACCGGAUAAUAUAUUGAACCGCAUGGUUCAAUAGUGAAAGACGGUUUUGCUGUCACUUAUAGAUGGAUCCGCGCCGCAUUAGCUAGUUGGUAAGGUAACGGCUUACCAAGGCGACGAUGCGUAGCCGACCUGAGAGGGUGAUAGGCCACACGGGAACGGAGACACGGUCCAGACUCCUACGGGAGGCAGCAGUAGGGAAUCUUCCGCAAUGGGCGAAAGCCUGACGGAGCAACGCCGCGUGAGUGAUGAAGGUGUUCGGAUCGUAAAACUCUGUUAUUAGGGAAGAACAAAUGUGGAAGUAACUAUGCACGUCUUGACGGUACCUAGUCAGAAAGCCACGGCUAACUACGUG
rnacentral:rRNA from 1 species